rnacentral:rRNA from 1 species
GAUGAACGCUGGCGGCGUGCCUAAUACAUGCAAGUCGAGCGAACAGACGAGGAGCUUGCUCCUCUGACGUUAGCGGCGGACGGGUGAGUAACACGUGGAUAACCUACCUAUAAGACUGGGAUCACUUCGGGAAACCGGAGCUAAUACCGGAUAAUAUAUUGAACCGCAUGGUUCAAUAGUGAAAGACGGUUUUGCUGUCACUUAUAGAUGGAUCCGCGCCGCAUUAGCUAGUUGGUAAGGUAACGGCUUACCAAGGCAACGAUGCGUAGCCGACCCGAGAGGGUGAUCAGCCACACUGGAACUGAGACACGGUCCAGACUCCUACGGGAGGCAGCAGUAGGGAAUCUUCCGCAAUGGGCGAAAGCCUGACGGAGCAACGCCGCGUGAGUGAUGAAGGUCUUCGGAUCGUAAAACUCUGUUAUUAGGGAAGAACAAAUGUGUAAGUAACUAUGCACGUCUUGACGGUACCUAAUCAGAAAGCCACGGCUAACUACGUG